rnacentral:piRNA from 1 species
UCCACACAUUGAGAAACACCCAAGAGUUACU